GAUGAAGAACGCAGCGAAAGUGCGAAACGUAAUGUGAAUUGCAGAAUUCAGUGAAUCAUCGAAUCUUUGAACGCACCUUGCGCUCCUUGGUAUUCUGAGGAGCAUGCCUGUUUGAGUGUCAUUAAAUUCUCAACUACACUGACUUUGAAUUGGUGUGGCUUGGAUUUGGGGGGAAAAUUGUUGUGGGCUUUUUGUAUAGUCUGCUCCCCUGAAAUUGAUUAGCGGUACCUUUGUGGAACUGUCUACAGGUGUGAUAAUUAUCUACAUCUUAGACAUCUGCUGGAAUGCUGCUUUCUAAACCUUACUUGUAUUGACAAUCUUGACCUCAAAUCAGGUAGGACUACCCGCUGAACUUAAGCAUAUCAAUAAGCGGAGUA
rnacentral:misc_RNA from 1 species